CACACGGAAUAAUCUUGUCUCUCGUUCCUCUGAAGCACUCCUGGGGGACAGGGUGGGGUGGGGGCAUGAGUCAUGUGAGUCCCGCACAGCAGAUGGUGGAGGGCAGUGAGUCACAGCUCUGUCCCUUAAUCAGAAGCGUAUUCGAGCGCUGGAGAGAGUGUGACCGCGGCCAGGUCCGGGCGCCCACCUUGCUGGUGACCGUCUGUUAAACAAUGACAGACUACGACCUGCGGGGCUUCUCAGUUCACACGUAUUUCCUCACUGUUUCUCAGUUCCUGAUUGUACCUGUACUGAUGUGGUUAAUUGGGGACUGCGCUGGCUUCUGGACUCCGUGCAAGCAGGGCCUAUUUUGUCAUUCUCUGGCACAGCUCAGCGUGCUCAUUCCUCCUGGACGCACUUCUCUGCUCUGCCCGGAGGAUGGUGAGGAAGUGACAUCUCCAUGGAAACAGGUGUUGAUCCCACAGUUGCUUAGCGAUGUGCUGGUGUGCUGCAGGAUGAUAUGUGCCUUGAAUCUUUCAAGAAGUCCUGGCUGAGACUUUUUUACAUCCGGGAGUUGGGACAGGAAUUGUCUUCAGCCAGUUAGAGUUCAAGAAAAAGAUCAGCUUGGCUGGCUGGCCGACGUGGCCACCAGGAGCCGCCCGUGCUGGCAGAGAGACCUCCGAAGCAAAGCGAGAGUGUCCGAUAUUUUGUCCCAGUUAAAAAUAGUGCUUCGCACAAGAGCUGAAAACAGGCUUCUUCACUAAACGCUUCCUCAAGCUGGUUCUCAGCCUCCUCCUGAAUCAUUACCCUCAAGCCAGUUCGCUGAGAUCUCAGGGAGAUACACGCCAAGAAACGCCACGCUUCCUCCGGGGAAAGUGCCAGCGGGUGCCCACCCCACUGCGGUUGAACCAGCCCACACCAGGUCUACGAAGUCAGGCAGGGCUGUCCAUUCCAGGACCACCUCCUGGUCUUCCUCAGGUGAAGAGGAAGGACCGCCCCUUCUGACCUGGUUGAAGGAACCUGCAGUCACUCCCGGGUCUCUAUUUUACCACAGCCUGUUAGCAGCCCAGAAUAGCUCCCGAGCCUUCGAUUCCGUGCUCCGGGCAGAGUCUUGAACCGUCAGGAAAUGGUUUUUGCGGUGUGCCGAGGAGGCAGAGGGGGAGGCAGGGAUGGAAAAUCCAAACAUCCCUCCCGAGUCACAGCGAAGAGGCAACCCAUGUUUUCAAGUCAGUCUGGAUCUCAAACAUUGAGUGCCACUUGCGCGAUGGGUUCCUGCCAUUCUUCCCUCUGGUAAUUAGAAGAAGUCGUGACAGCCUGUGGAACCAUCCAGCUGAGUAAGGGGAACAGGUCCCUGAGCUGGCGGGAACUGUUACUGAGGCCUCGCCCACACUGAAGAUCAUAAUGCCAUGAAGAAAGUUCUGGCAACUCUGGAAACCUAAGGGAAAGCAUGCCUGUCUCCCCCACCCCUGCCAGUAUUCAGUCACAUAUGUGCUCUUCGUCUUCUGUAUAACUUCCAUCUUGGCACGUUUGAGAGAGAAGUUUGCUGUGUUUGUCUGCCCAAUGGGCUGCCUUCAUUAUAGAUUGUAAAUAACUUCUUUCCAGAAUUUCAAGAGUUUCUUUUUUUCUUUAGGAUGACAUUUAAUAUUUUCCAUGCAGUUUGCCUUUCUGGGAGAAUGUUCUCAGGGAUGAGUAACUUUGGGUUGUCUUCCUUUCAACUGCUUUCCCUAUUUUAAAGGUCUC